rnacentral:lncRNA from 1 species
GAAGAAUAUAGCAGUACAAUAGAGGUCUUAGAAUGUGAGGGUGGGUUCUAAUCUGUCACAGCAUUGUGUGACCAUAUCACCCACAAUGACUCUGGGCCUUGCUUAUCUGAUGUGUACUAUGAAUGGCUUGCCUAGUAUUGUUGAUUUUCAAGCCAGCUCUGGCCACACAGAGAUGCUUGGGGAAGAAGAAGAGAGGGGGAGCUCUGUGCCCAUCUCCUGGCUUCUGCAGAAGAAUCUUUCUUUAUCGGGGCCCCCAUACGCUUUCAUUUGAAAGAAAGUUUUGUACUUACAAGGGAAAAUUGAAAACCCCAGAACUAGGAGAGAAGAAAUGUAAGAUGACACAUGUGGCUCAUAUUAAAAUUCUGUUGGAUGGCCCUGGACUAGAAAGAAUCAGAUAUGCAAGAGGCCCAAAUGGACCCUUUCAGCAGAUUCAGCAAUGUUCACCAAGCAACUCUGUGUGCCUAGAGCUGGGAUAGAAACUCUACCCAACUAACUGCCAGAUACAGCAUGGUUGUUCUAGUUUCCAUGUUUUGCUGAUAUUUUUAAUGAACGGAACAAAUUCGAUUCAGGCCAUGAGAAUCCCAACAUUGUGAUGAUUGCAACUGCAAAGAAAUUGUUGGCAACGAGAAAACAAAAGUCUGAACUCCAUCUGCAAAAUUAAAUAAAUUGGACUGUUUUAAAACUUUACUUAAAUAU